rnacentral:misc_RNA from 1 species
GGUUAUCAUCGGGCCCGCCGCUGGAUGGUUCUGUGGGCGUAAAAUAUGUCCUAAUUAAAAACUACUUUAAGGUUAAUAGAUACUUACUCAGCGAGUACGACGGGCUCCACGAUCGAGCGUAAUAACACAAACAAGAAGGGCUUCGCUUCGAGACGACCAAUAUACGCCCCCUAUCCAGUAACCGUCCGCGCCGCCCCCUAAAACCUGGGACAGCUUUUUCAACAAUAAAACGGCUGUUCCUUCAAAAUGUGAUCCAACGGUUGUUCAUGAAACAUUCCGUUGCCGACUAAAGCCUGAUUCCAGUUCGCACAAAGUUGGAGGUAAUUACUGCAUACGUUUAUUUAUUUAUCUAGGUACUAUUUUAUCUAAUUUAUAUUUUCAUUACAUGUAAAUCUGUCUUAAUUGCAGGUUAAUAGAUUAUGACGGGGUCUACAAACCUGCAAC